rnacentral:rRNA from 1 species
AUUGAACGCUGGCGGCAGGCCUAACACAUGCAAGUCGAACGGAAAAAGGGAGCUUGUUCCUGCUUUGAUCGCCGGAGGGGGGAGUAAUGCCUAGGAAUGGGCAUCGGAGUGGGGGAGAACGUCCGCUAAUGGGCGCUGUUGCUGCAUACGCAUAGCGUCACAAAGCGGGGGAGCGGCGCAUCCCACGCUAUCAGAUGAGCCUAGGUCGGAUUAGCUAGUUGGUGGGGUAACGGCCUACCAAGGCGACGAUCCGUAGCUGGUCUGAGAGGAUGAUCAGUCACACUGGAACUGAGACACGGUCCAGACUCCUACGGGAGGCAGCAGUGGGGAAUAUUAGACAAUGGGCGCAAGCCUGAUGCAGCCAUGCCGCGUGUGUGAAGAAGGUCUUCGGAUUGUAAAGCACUUUCAGCUGGGAGGAAGGGAAGUAAGUUAAUACCUUGCUGCAUUGACGUUACCAGCAGAAUAAGCACCGGCUAACUCCGUG